rnacentral:rRNA from 1 species
UACGAAGGGGGCUAGCGUUGCUCGGAAUCACUGGGCGUAAAGGGUGCGUAGGUGGGUCUUUAAGUCAGAGGUGAAAUCCUGGAGCUCAACUCCAGAACUGCCUUUGAUACUGAGGAUCUUGAGUUCGGGAGAGGUGAGUGGAACUGCGAGUGUAGAGGUGAAAUUCGUAGAUAUUCGCAAGAACACCAGUGGCGAAGGCGGCUGACUGGUCCGGUUCUGACGCUGAGGCGCGAAAGCGUGGGGAGCAAACAGG